rnacentral:lncRNA from 1 species
GGGCCUGGGUGUGUGCUCCAGUUCCGGAAAGCCAUCAUUUGAACUGUAGGUUGCAAGUCGUUCUGUGAUUAGGAUAGGUAAAAGGCAGCAGAAAUAAGGCCACCCACCACCCCUUACCCUCUCAGAAAGUUUGCUCUUGGGCAGGGCUGACGUUGCUAGAGUUUCAGAUUCUGGCUGGAGUUGGAGAGCACUCUUCUACAUGGCAGUGACAGAAAAGUGAGCUAUAUGGCUUCCUUCUACUCUUGAUGUUCUGAUAGGACACAAGCUGGAGUUAUCACAGAGAAAGGAGCUUCAGUUGGGGAACUCCUGCUUCCUGACCUGCUUGAGUUCCUGUCCUGACAUCCUUUGGCGAUCAACAGCAAUGUGGAAAUUGUAACCUGAAUAAAUCCUUUCCUCCCUGA